CAAAAAUAAAAGUAAACAUUAAAAAAAAAGUAAGUUGGCAAAAUCCCAAUAAUGUGGUCUCUCCUCUUACAUAGACACUUUUAACAGAUCAGAUUGCAUAUUGCUGUGAGCAAAGUGAAAUAGUAGUCAGACCAAUGAUUUUGGAUUAUAUUUUAAAUGCUAGGUGUGGGGGAAGGGGAAAAAGGUGGCCAAAGACUACAAGCUUCCAAUUAUAAGAAGAAUAAAUUCUGAGGAUGCAAUGCACAGCAUGGUGACUAUAGUUAACAAUUUGAAAGUCGCUGAGAGAGUAGAGUUUAAAAGUUCUCAACACAACAAAAUGUAAGUAUAUGAGAUGAGAGAUAUGUAAAGUAACCUUAUUGUGGUGAUAAUUUUGCAACGCCCAUACAUCUUUCUGAUCAUUACACUGUGUACCUUAAACUUAUACAACAUUAUAUGUUGACUAUAUCUCAAUAAAGCUGGGACACAAAUAAAUAAAUAAUAGAAUCGCAACAACAACGGAAUAAUACAAUGACAGCAAUUCCCGCAAAAUAGAGAGCAACUGACAGGGGCUGGAUAUCUCAAGUGGUUUGGGGAGGGCUGACGGGUACAUUGCUCUGGAAAGUUUAAUACAGACCUCGUAGACUUUAAUGUGCAUGUGAAUGCCUGGAGAUCUUGUUAAAAUGAAGAUUCUGAUUCAACAGGUCUGAGGCGAGCCCAAGAGUCUGCAUUUUCAACAAGCUCUCAAGCGAUGCCAGUGUGGCCGAUCCACAGACCACACUUGGAGUGGCAAGGGUUUGGUGCGUGGUAACUGUCUCCUCUUUGCAUUUUCUGCUUGAUACCAGAGAAACCAACUACUGAAGAGGGAUACCAGCAGAGCCUGUAGGAGAAAUUUGGACAUAGGCAAACACCUGGGGAGAAUACAACGUGAACAUUGAAGGCAGAGUGAUCCGGACGAUGCGUCCACAAGCCAAGGAACAUCAGAGAUUGCCAACAAACCAAACCACCAGCAGCUAAGACAGAGACACAGGACAGAUUCUCCCUCAGAAGGAACCAACCCAGCCGACAUCUUGAUUUUAGACUUCUAGCCUCCAGACCUAUGAGACAAUGAGUUUCUGUAGUUUCAGGGACCCAGUUUGUGGUACUUUGUCACGGCAGCUCUAACAAACUAAUAGUUUACAUAUCUUAUGAGCAAAAGAAACGCCACAUUCAAUCCUAUGACCAGCCUGGGUGGAAAUUGCAGACUUCUGUGAGGAGGCAGAAUUAAACAGUGUGAGUCAGGAGACAAGGAGCCUUUCAACAUUUUAGAACCCAUGACACAAUGUCUAUAAAAAGACAGUCUGACAGUGAGAAGAAUUGGUUUGGAUGUCUGCAGCUCUGACCAAAAUCUCUGAUGGUUCGAAUCCUCUAAUAAUGAACGUGCAAAUUGCCAUUCUUAGUGGCUGGGCAACAGUUGGGAUGACAGCACCCUCCCCAGUCUUUCCAUCCCCGGAAGACUGAGAGUCUCACAUGGAAAGAUUUAAGAGAAUCAAAACCAAGAUAUUAGUAUGUUUUACAUUAAGAAAGGAUCUGAGUGCAUUUGAUACAUGCCAGGUAUCCUUUAUUUUUUCAUAGAGCUUACUAUCAUCCAAGCUAGAGGGGCACAGAGCUUGUGCUGACCCGAGGAGAGGGGAUUGGCACGUUUUUAGGAAUUUUGCGGCUAUUAAUACCCAAUGUUCCAAUCUUUGCAAUUACACAAAAAUUUGCAAUGAUGGCUAGUGCUGUUGCAACCAUUAGUGCUGAAGCUAAAUUAAAUUUAGUAAAUAUAAUUUGUGUGAGGGUGAGAAAUCGUCUAAAGAGAUGAUACGUCAGAUCUAAUGAUUAUACUUUUAUUGGGAAAAGAGCACACUGGGACGCAACCCUAUUGGCCAAAUCAUGGUUCGACUGCAAGCAUAGUCUGGCUACAGAUACAAGACUUUGGCAAAACUCCUCAAAGGCAUUCUGUGAAAACCGAUUGCCUCUAUGGAAUUUAUAAUAAAAAGUCUUGCAUAUUUUCUUAUUAUUUGGAAGUUGUGUGUUACAUGUAUUGACUAUCAUUUCCCUUCCCCCGCUGCCAGUUGUUAAACAUUUUCCACCACCGGAGAGAAACCAUUAACAAAUACUUAAAUGAUGAGAUAAAUUCAGGUGGUGGUAAAAGCCAUGAAUGCAUGAAAGCAGAGUGAUAUAGUGGAGAGUAACCAGUGGUUGGGGCAAGUUCAUAGAGGGUGGAUGACUAGAAAUAGCCAGCCCUGUGAAAAUGGGCAUAUUUAGGGUAAAAGUAAGAGCAAGUCCAGUGGCCACAUGGGAAGAAAGAAUUUGUGUGUUGCUGUUAUUGUUGUUGUUAACAGAAUCUGCACCUGAGAUCCCAAACCUGAGGUCUCCACUCAUUCCUUUCUCCCCUGAACUGUAUCUGGGAGCCACUCAGUGUCACUGUCCAUUUGACCCCAUGGAAACACCUGUGGUUCCUGGCUUCCUCCAUAAACUCUCAGAAUUCUAUACAGUUUAGAUAAUAAUUGUACCAUACAUUCCUUUCUUGUCGCUUUUCUUUGGUGGAAUUCAGAGCCACGGAACCUAUAUUGUUUCCAUUUUCCCUGUUCCUAAAUUAACGUUCGUAUGUGAGUCUACACUAGACUCCUUUGGAAGCCUCAGGUCCACCUCCCCACUUUCUCUAAAUGUGGUCCCUCCAAGCGCCUCGUUGCUGGGCUUGUUUCACGAUGUGGUUAAGGGCAAGCAAUUCCUCUUCCAAACAUUUUGAAAAUGUUUACUCCCCAGUUCAGCUUUGGAAAUUGACAGCUCCUGAAGUAAAAGGAGACAGUUUGGGGCAGAUGUUUUGAUUUCCAUACCUUUAGUAAUCCCACGUACUUAGCCUUCCCUGGUUCCCCAAAUCCAGGGCCUGCCUGGGCUCUGGGGAAAUGUUCAACGGAUGCUCCUAUUUUGGUGUAACAGCACCACAUUCGACUCUGAAAUGCCACUGUUCUAAUUCAUUUUCUUAAUGAUGGUGCAAAUGAGUGGGAUGUUUCAUAUCGUAGCCUUUUAACAUUCCAAACAUCAUUAAACCAAACCAUUACAGGGAUACGUUCAGUCAAAAGAUAAGUGCUUUGGCUGCAGGAUGAAAUAGCUGAUUAGUAAUUGAAAAUACGAUGCCUGGCCUUUUUUCUGUUUUAGUUUACAAAGAGAAGCUUUCUCCUCCUUUGACUGAGGGGCUGGCUCUUCUCACUGGCUGUCUUCGGGAGCACUCCCUUUAUUGCCAGCGCUUCUGUGCAAGUCUGGAGCGUUUAACUUCGCUUGUGAAAUGAUCAACGUCAAGUCGCUUGCUGACAUUACAGCCAGCUGCUUAAAGUGUCAGCGCAGCUGCCUUGUGGAUGAGAACGAAUUCUUACCACUGCUCCUUGUUCUACAAGAAAAUGCUGACUAUGAACCAAGGGGCUCAACACAUUCAUUUUUGCUCUUUUUGCCACCAGCUCAGAUUUCUAUGCAAUGAAACUUAUAUUCAGGAAUCUGGAAACAAAAGCAAAAAUGCACCCCUGAUUCUGAAAUAGUGCUCUAUUACUCAUGGGUCUCAGGAUCUGUUUUUUCAAUUUUUGGUUGUAUGACUCACAGAGUUUUAAGGAACCACCCAUGAGGGCCCCAUUCGCUUGGAUAAUUAGGUUUCUCCUGUGUUAAAAACAACAGUCCGCACUUCCGAAUGGCUGAGGAUUUAAUAGCUCUGCACUAUCUGAGCAAUCCUGUCCCGCUGUGAGGCUUAGCUUUCACCUUCUUCUGGUCUAAAGGACCCAGAGACUGGGUUAUAAAGAUGCUUAAAGUGGAACAAAAGAAAGACUUGAGCAGGCCUGGACAAGGCCACCUCACUCAGGCUGAAGCAGAAUGGGGCCACAGGAAGGCACUCCCGCAAGCCCAAAGGUUCUUUCAUCCUUUUUAGCUAGGGCUCUCACCAGCCAUUGUUUCUUUAACAUCCUGCAUGAAAGCAUUGGAUGCAAACAUCACUGCCUCUAGGCAAAGGAAUAUAGAUAUUUGCCAAAUGAGUAAUUGAAAAAGAGCUACGUGUGUGAGGGGAGCGACAAUUUUUCCUUCUUCUCAUUGUCCUUCUCUGUCUUCCCUGGUUUUUAAAGUUUUAAAAACACAAAAACAAAAAACCCUACGUUUUGCCCUGGGAGUGUGGUUUCACCCAUUCCCCGCACUGUUCCAGUCUAUCCCAGCUGUCAAUCAAAACCAGACAACAGAAGUUGGCCAUAAUUCAAAAGGAAAAAAAUGCCUUUUAGGACACACUUUGACACGUGUUGGAUGAUUUAGUAAGAUCCUGGUCUAAGACUGCCUGGGUUCAUUUUUUCCCCCCACUUUUCACCAUUUUCUUCUAAUAGCCAAAAUAUUACCUUUUUUUUUUUUUUUCUCUCUUUCACCAAGUGUACUCCAUUAAUUGAGUGACUCUGGCUAGUAAGUUCAAAUAAGAAAACAGGAAAAUAAUUUUUUUUAAAGAGAAAACAGAGCUGUCAGCAUAAAGGGGAUGGAGUGGCUCUCAAGGCCGUGGUUCUCAGGCUGUGUGCCACGGGGCAAACUCACAGGCAACCACAGGAUAUUUAAAAAGUGUAAAAGAAACACAGCCAUACUUGGCGUCAGAUGCCGCACCAGCUGUAGGGCCCGGGAGUGCACAGGAGCACCAUUAGAUUGCCCAGUGCUCCUCUCCAUGAUGCCACAGAUCUGCAGGCCAGGCUCCCUGCACAGCCGUGUGCAACAGGGAAUAAAGGCACUGGUGUCUGUUGAAAUAUAAUACUAGGCCCAAGCGGGAGCUUCUCCAGCCCAGGUGUCACAGCAGCAAACCGAGACUGGGAAAACUUCUGUGUCCCUGUAAAUGUUCUGCUUGACCAGAAACACAGUACAGAAAUGUCCCCUUACCCAUGGUUUUGCUCUCCACUGUUUGGUUUCAGUGACCACAGUCAUUCUCCGUCCUGAAAUAGUAGAUCCUCCUUCUCACUUAAGGUCAGAAGGUCAGGUGUAGCCUAAUGCUAUGUCACAAAGCUCAAGUCAUUCGCCUCGCUUCAUCUCAUCAUGUGGGCAUUAUAUCACUUCCCAUCAGCACAAGAAGGGUGAGUACAGUACAAUUAGAUAUUUUGAGAGAGAGAGAGACCACAUUACAUAACCUUUAUUACAGUAUGUUGUUAUAAUUGUUCUAUUUUGUUAUUUCUUAUUGUUGUUAAUAUCUCACUCUGCCUAACUUGUGAAUUAAACUUUAUCAUAGAUAUGCAUGUAAAGGAAAAAAAGGUAUAUAUAGGGUCUGGUACCGUGAGAAGUCAGAGAGAUGAAUCAUUUUCAGAAAUACCAAAUAAAAGCUGUGUUGUCUAGUUAACAGUAGGUCUACAACCUGUUGGAAAUAUGUAUGACCCCUCCCCCCACCGACAAUGGAGUCCCAAGCCCUUAGACAGUUCACUUUCUGGUUCUUCCCCUCUCCGCUUCUCAGGUUUAUCUUUGCUGGCUUUGCAAUGAGCAUGUGCCAAUGAACAAAGCAGGGACUAAAAGUCUCUGCAUCAACUCAGGAAAUGUACAUUUGUUCCAAUCAGACUACUUUUUGCCUUACAUGGGCCAGGCGACUUCCAGGUAAGGUUGUAACCUCUGUCGUACUCAGCCAGGGGAGGGACUUCACAUUAGGAGAUAAAUUGUCUGCUGUAACUGCCCCUAGUGUGUCAUCAGACACCUGCUCUUACAAGAACAUUGAUUAAAGCCUUGCUUCCCUGUG